CCUCAGUUGAUGGCAACAUAUCAAAGGUGACGCAUUUGUCAGUGAGAUAAGCUGCUGCCAGAAAUGUGAUGCACAAUGCUUUACUGAAAAUCUGACAGGUUUCAGAGAUCGUAAGUCUCUGAUGGCUUCAUUCGGACUACUCACAGAGCAUAAGGCUAAGCAGGGAGAAACUUUAAAGGGACUUGGCUGGAGGGCCAAGUCACAGGAAGAGGCAGGUCACUGUAGAAGCGGAGCAGCUGUUGGCUAGAGACAGCCAGUGAGGCAAGAGCAACUAUGCUAUGCCCCACAACAAAGAGGCACCAGCGAUGGUAUCCUUGUCGUCAUGACAAUCAUGAACUGUUUCAAGUGACUUCUGGCUAAGCACUCCCACCUCUAUUUUUGCUCUGGGAUUGGAAUGGAAGGAAAGAGAGAGGAGUUGCAUCUUUUUCAUGGGAACACUGCCUCCAUUCUGACUUGGUAUACCUUUCUCCAGAAGGUCUAUUUGUAUUGGUACUCUCUUAGAAGCUAACCGACCCAGUUUGAUUUCAGAUGUUGCCACGGAAAAUUUUUCUGAAGUUGUCAAAUACUUUAUGAAUGGCCUGGUAUGAUGUUAUCCAUCUUUUGUCCUUGACUACUGAUGUAACAGUUUCCAUAUGCCUCUGUGUUCCUAUAUCAUCUUUAUACCUCACCAUGGGGUAUAGAUGACCUGCAACAAAUGAAGCAAAAGGAAGACAAAUGAAUUUUUAAAAGAGACACAAACAAAAUUUUGAAAUACUAUGACUUAGCUGUGCAGGAGACAAGGAUAUAUUUCUCUCCCUCCAUCAUAACUUCUGCAAAGUUGGAGUAACUGCUCAAGCUGGUGAACAUCCUUAUGAAUUUGGGUUCUUGCCACUUGUUUUCAAAGGCAAGUGUUUGUCCCAGGUACAAUGUUCAAUUUACUUUGUGGACAACAUUGCUCAUAUCCACACUGGACUGUCUCUGUGGCCCCUAUUCAACAGAACACUUCAGCGUCUGUCAACACUUCCUGUCUAGUGCUUUGUUGGAUUGGGGCCAUAGGCAGAGCCUGUGUCAUUCCCUGUCUCUAAACUUCUGGAAGUGCUAAGUGGGUGGGCUACAGUGUGCACAUAGGUCCAGUGUUGAAAGUGGCUGUAAGCUUUCCAUUCUGUGGUAAGCAAGGCCCCAAACUGUGCAGCCCUCUCUGGCAGGAGAUACAGUAAGGUGGGGCAGAGGGAUACACUGGUUUAGAGUGUCCCUAUUCCAGCCCAUGCCUACAAGGCUCUUCUUGAGCUUCUGGCAGAACCUAAAACACCACUAGGCUUUUCUUGCUGUGGGUUGGGCUAUGGUGGGCCCCUCUGGUGAGUGGAGGUGCAAUUUGGACCCACAUGAGCUGGCUGGGCUGAAUCUAGUGCCCAGGGAAUAUUAUUAUUACUUUCUCAUUCUUAAAUUGUAAUGUGCAGGAAUAUUACUGAUACAAUAGACUCCACACUAACGUUGCUUCAGACAAUACAAUGUAGUAUUUUAACAAGACCUGGUAUUACUUGUGUAUGUAUAGUUUAGUUGUUUUUUGAGGGGCUAAUCAAUUGCUGCUAAUAGUAAUAAAGCCCCUUUCUAUUUUUUACUUGUUGUUUUGAUCAGGCAUGGUAUAGUGGUACAAUUGACACACUCUUUUAAUCGUGUACCUUUCUUAUCCCAAAUAACCACUGAUUCGCAGAUUAUUCUUUCAUUUAUGUGCCUGGGAAAUUCUUAUUAAUGCUCAAAACCUGAUUGGCGCCAGGUGGGCAGACUCCAGCACUCAUACUGCUCCCCUGUUUUCAGUGGACUUCCAUCCUCAAGGAGCCAGUUGUAGGAAGAGGACUCAAGACUCUAUAUUGUGAUAUGGGUCAUAUCUAGACAGGUUACAAUUACAUGAAUUUGAUUUGCACAAGUUUACCAACAGGCAAUUAAGUCCCUAAUUUGGAAUACACAGUGAAGCGUGUUAGUUAGAAGCACUGAUUAGAGUGACUUUCAAGCCCCUUUUUAACUGUUUCCAACAACUACGCUUAAAUCCCUAUCCAUAAAAUUAUCUUUUCUUGAGCAUUAUUACAAAGAACCCCAUUGGAACCCCAAACUAAACUUGCUGGGCCACUUGUAUCUUUUUUGGUCUUAUAACACCAGAGUUACUGAGAAACUUCUGUUGUUUUGGAUAAUAAACUGAGAAACAAAAGAAGGUGUCAAAUAUUUGUGUAGUAGCUCAUGGUGUCAAUUUUUUCUCCUGGCUGUUUAAGGUGCAC